UGAACGCUGGCGGCGUGCUUAACACAUGCAAGUCGAACGAGAAAGGGAUUGCUUGCAAUCCUGAGUAGAGUGGCGCACGGGUGAGUAACACGUAGAUAAUCUACCCUCAAGCCUGGGAUAACUGUCCGAAAGGGCAGCUAAUACCGGAUGAAGUUUAUAAUCAUAAGGUUAUGAAUGAAAGAUUGCCUCUUCUUGAAAGCAAUUGUUUGGGGAUGAGUCUGCGGACCAUUAGCUUGUUGGUGGGGUAAAAGCCUACCAAGGCAACGAUGGUUAGCUGGUCUGAGAGGAUGAUCAGCCACACUGGAACUGGAACACGGUCCAGACUCCUACGGGAGGCAGCAGUGAGGGAUUUUGCGCAAUGGGGGAAACCCUGACGCAGCAACGCCGCGUGAGUGAAGAAGGCCUUUGGGUCGUAAAGCUCUGUCAACUGGGAAGAAGUUAUAGAUAUCCAAUAGGUAUUUAUAUUGACGGUACCAGUGGAGGAAGCGCCGGCUAACUCC
rnacentral:rRNA from 1 species